rnacentral:rRNA from 1 species
ACCCGUAGGGGUGNNNUNUAUAGAGAAAGAGUGAGUCACACGUGGGCAAUCUGCCCUUCACUCUGGGACAAGCCCUGGAAACGGGGUCUAAUACCGGAUACCACUCCUGCCUGCAUGGGCGGGGGUUGAAAGCUCCGGCGGUGAAGGAUGAGCCCGCGGCCUAUCAGCUUGUUGGUGGGGUAAUGGCCCACCAAGGCGACGACGGGUAGCCGGCCUGAGAGGGCGACCGGCCACACUGGGACUGAGACACGGCCCAGACUCCUACGGGAGGCAGCAGUGGGGAAUAUUGCACAAUGGGCGAAAGCCUGAUGCAGCGACGCCGCGUGAGGGAUGACGGCCUUCGGGUUGUAAACCUCUUUCAGCAGGGAAGAAGCGAAAGUGACGGUACCUGCAGAAGAAGCGCCGGCUAACUACGUGCCAGCAGCCGCGGUAAUACGUAGGGCGCAAGCGUUGUCCGGAAUUAUUGGGCGUAAAGAGCUCGUAGGCGGCUUGUCACGUCGGAUGUGAAAGCCCGAGGCUUAACCUCGGGUCUGCAUUCG